CCUACGGGAGGCAGCAGUGGGGAAUAUUGCACAAUGGGGGAAACCCUGAUGCAGCAACGCCGCGUGGAUGAAGAAGGUUUUCGGGUUGUAAAGUUCUUUCAGCAGGGAAGAAAAUGACGGUAUCUAACCACUCCGCACCGGCUAACUCCGUCCCAGCAGCCGCGGUAAUACGGAGGGGGCAAGCGUUAAUCGGAAGGACUGGGCGUAAAGUGAGCGUAGGCGGGAUAGCAAGUCAGGAGUGAAAUCCUGGGGCUGAACCAGAGAACUGCAUUGGAAACUGUGAGUCUGGAGUACAGGAGAGGUAGGUGGAAUUCCUGGUGUAGCGGUGAAAUGCGUAGAGAUCAGGAGGAAUACCGGUGGCGAAGGCGGCCUGCUGGA
rnacentral:rRNA from 1 species